CGUAAUAACAGAAACUAACCAGGAUUCCCUUAGUAACGGCGAGUGAACUGGGAUACCAAUAUAUUUAUGCGUCUCUGGCGCAUAUUUUUAGCCCGUCGAUACUAUCCUAGCGUAUUACCGGUUUCGGCCGGUAGCCCAAUACGCGGGAAUUGUAGCAUCGUAAUAAAAUAUACACCAUGCCUGCGUCGCAAACGUAUAUACACGUAUACUCACACACACAUACUCGUACGCGUACACACCCUUGCAAACACACAGCGCUCCCGCGUUGGAAAGCAAGUCUAUAUCCUCUUUGGAUAUGCCAUAGAGUGUGACAGCCACGUUUGAAACACCCUACGUACCGUACACACACAUACGUAAAAAUACGCGCUGCUUCGCAUACGCAUACCGUAUAUAACCUGAGUCGAGUUAUUU
rnacentral:rRNA from 1 species